CAGUCGCCGCGGUAAUACGAAGGGGGCUAGCGUUGCUCGGAAUGACUGAGCGUAAAGGGCGCGUAGGCGGCGAUCAAAGUCAGGCGUGAAAUUCCUGGGCUCAACCUGGGGGCUGCGCUUGAUACUUGGUUGCUUGAGUGGGGAAGAGGGUCGUGGAAUUCCCAGUGUAGAGGUGAAAUUCGUAGAUAUUGGGAAGAACACCGGUGGCGAAGGCGGCGACCUGGUCCUUGACUGACGCUGAGGCGCGAAAGCGUGGGGAGCAAACAGGAUUAGAUACCCCUGUAGUCCCUGUCUCUUAUAC
rnacentral:rRNA from 1 species